rnacentral:rRNA from 1 species
GAUGAACGCUGGCGGCGUGCCUAAUACAUGCAAGUCGAGCGAAGCGGGGACGGGUGAGUAACACGUGGAUAACCUCCUAUAAGACUGGGAUAACUUCGGGAAACCGGAGCUAAACCGGAUAAUUAUAGAUGGAUCCGCGAUGCAUUAGCUAGUUGGUAAGGUAACGGCGUACCAAGGCAACGAUGCAUAGCCGACCGUAGAGAGUGAUCGGCCACACUGGAACUGAGACACGGUCCAGACUCCUACGGUAGGCAGCAGGGGGGAAUCUUCCGCAAGGGGCGAAAGCCGGACCGAGCAACGCGGCGUUAGUGAUGAAGGUCUUCGGAUCGUAAAACUCUGUUAGUAGGGAAGCGGUACCUAAUCAGAAAGCCCCGGCUAACUACGGGCCAGCAGCCGCGAUAAUAC